rnacentral:rRNA from 1 species
UACGUAGGGACCAAGCGUUGUCCGGAAUUAUUGGGCGUAAAGAGCUCGUAGGCGGUUUGUCGCGUCGACUGUGAAAACUGGGGGCUUAACUCUCAGCUUGCAGUUGAUACGGGCAGACUUGAGUUCGGUAGGGGAGACUGGAAUUCCUGGUGUAGCGGUGAAAUGCGCAGAUAUCAGGAGGAACACCGGUGGCGAAGGCGGGUCUCUGGGCAAUUCCUGACGCUGAGGCGCGAAAGCGUGGGGAGCAAACGGG